AUUGAUAAGCUCUAUGUUUUUUAAAGGUUUUUGAUAAAUAUUUUUGUUUGCACCUUUGAGCACUGAAGAAUCAAAUUUUUUGCAAACGUUUCCGUUUAUAGCACACAAUAAUUUCAUUUUGGGUGGAAGCAUUGGACUUCCGCUCAACGACUUAAAUUUAUUUUAAAAAACAAACUUGCAACUAAGAAACGAUUAAUAUAGGAAAUUUGAUACAAAGAUU